UGAAUUCUGGGUGGUUCAUCCUCCUCCCUGCCCUUCUAAACAGAGAAUCAGAGAGAAAAUCCCCGACGGACUUCCCCGUCCCUCUUGUGUCGCUCCUGGCACCUAGUAAGGGAACAAGGAUGUACUCGGGAUCCUGUCGCCGAGAGAAAAAGUAAAGGGCACUGUCGCUCGGCACCAGGUUUUCAGGGGUCGUAACUACGAGGCAGAAACCCGAGUCGGGUCCACAGGAAGGGAGGAAGGGACUCGGGUCACUCCGCCGAGGCUUUCCCACGGUCGCUCCACCGUCUCCUUAACACCGGGAAACAGAAACACCCGUGGCGAGGAGCUGUCAGACAAAAGGGCAAGGAAGGAAGCUACAAAUCCUUUUCAAAAGGCAGAGAAAAGAAGUGAACAGCAACAACAAGAAGGAAAAAAAGGAAAAAGGUGCACUCUAAAAAUUCUGGAAGAAAGAAACACUUAAGAAAGAAAAAAACCCAACUGCACCACAUAAACAGAAAGCACCAGUGUGAAAAAGUCUCCAGGAGCGAUAGGGAAGCACAAAAUUUAUCCAUUGCUCCUUGAAACUACUGCAAAAAAGACAACUCUCAUUUGGGAUUUUAAUAAUAGAGGUGUUGCCUCUGAGAGAAGGCAGAUUACUAUUCCAUCCUACUCAGUACCAGGGAGCCCUCAGAUGGAAUACUCUGCCGUGUUUAACUGCCACGUUAAAAGAAGCAUAUAGACAUAUUGGAAAGAGUACAAAGAUGAGCAAAAAUCCAAGAGAUUAAGAAAACAUGACUUUUCUGAAAAUUCAAAAAGAAAUGAUAUUUUUAAAAGGAAGAUUUCAGUUGAGUGGAAUGGGACAUGAAGUGGUAGCACAAGAAGAGAUGUAAAAAGACCUAGGAUGAGAAAGAUAAUGAGAUAUUUUUUCAAUGCCUUUCACAAGAAGGAUAAGAAUAAAUUGACAAUUUGGAAAAGAGGAAAUUUGAACUAGAUAUCAGAAAAAUCUUUCAAAGUAAAAUAGAAGCCAAGUUCUUGUAGAUUUUUAACUAAUAAAACUAUUGAAAGUCCAGAAAACUUGUAAUUACCAAUGCGUGGGAACAAGCCUGCAGUGGUUCAUGGCACCAUUCCAGCCAUAAGUUACAAUGAUGCCUAAUUUUUUCUCUCUGAAAACUGGUGCCAUGUACUGUAGGUAUGACCUCUCAUUUGGAAUUUGACUAGAUAAAAUCUGUGCCAUUACCUUAUUCCAGGAUAACAAGUUCUUUAAAUCUAGUAUGCAAUGGGUGGAUUUAUAUGAAUGCUUUCCUGAACUGAAUGGGUCCUUCUUAGGUGCAAAUUUGCCAUUUCAGUUGGUGUCUUAUGAUGGACACUCAAUUUCAUACCUGAAGCAAUUGAAGUAGUUCUUGGCACAGGAACUUGAACUUGAAGCCAUCCUCAGAGACACUGAGAUAUAUCCACUUGUGAUGUGGAUGACUGAUUUUUUAGGAUGUGGCUCUGCAUGGCUGUGUAGUGUGGGACUGGAACCUGCAGCUGCCAUGAACUCCAUUGCUGGUAAAGGCAUGUCCUGCUAGAGCCCAGAUGGGCACUGUGAAGCAAACCAUUGUUAUUCUGUAUUUGUGCUGCACAGUUGGAUGUUGGACAUUGGAUGCAGCCAAUGUCCAGAAUUUAAUAUGAAGUCUUACAUAUGUAAGGUCACUGCAUCAACUGAAAAACAAGUACAGGACUUACUCAGAAAUAACAUUCUGGUACACUCAGAAGAUGGUUGCUGAAUAACCCUACCAUAAUUCUAUUGUGAGGGUGAUUAUUUUUUUAUUUAUACUAAAUGUGUCUUAAAAAUCCAAUCAAAAAACUAAGUCUGUUUAUUUAUUCCAAAAACUGUUAUGUAAAGAGUGAC
ensembl:lncRNA